GAUGGCGACAUGAGAGGGUGUAACAUUUCUAGCUGAGGAACCAUUUAAGGGUUUUCUCACAAAGUUUAUAGUUUUAGACUGCAGUUGAAAUGUGUUUGUUUUUUCCACAAAAAAUGAUAUCUAACCAUACAAUUUAGCUAUUUUGAAUAAUUUUGUAAUUAAUCAAACCAUUUAAAUAUAUUUUUGACGAUUUCCAACGAACAAGCUAGCUAUCGAAAAGUUUCAGCGUUACGUUAGUUAAGUUAGCCUGCUAACGUCUUCAUAGCUAGUAGCAUGGAAUCAGGACAUGACCAGACUGUUGCUGAGAUAAUGGAUGUUGAAACUUCCAAGCAGAAUAUAGGCAUUGUUGAAACUCACUCAUAUGCUUGCAGUGUAAAAAGGUGGGUGAAUGUGAUUCAUACCGAAUACCCCAACCAAGGAGCAACUUCCAAAGAAGUUGAGAAGUGAACCAUCACUGAGCCAGCUACAGGACAACAUCGUCCGCAUCCUCACGGCAAAAAUCAAAGAGUGCAGAUGACAUCAUGAAUUUGGUAUAAAAGAACACUAUCAGCAUCGUUAACCUGAAGAAAUCGAUUGAUUUCAAUGCUGAGGAAGUCAAAACUGAAGCAGCAGAACGCAACAUUGAAAAUUCAGGUUGCAAAGCAGGAGAAGAAACUCACUGAAAUGGAGUCAAAGGUUAACGAGAAUGACUGGUAAAUCGAAGAAGGAAUCUUCGAAUUUAUGGAAUAGCAGAAAAAUCUGACGAGAACAUCAAAGCAAGAGUGAAGGACAUUUGCAGGGCAAUGGUCCCGCAGGAGGAGCGAAGUGUUGUUGCAGGUUCUCCGGAUGUAGUGCACAGCCUGGGUAGGCUGAGAGAUGGGGAAAACAACCAGCCACCACGACCAGUGAUCAUGAGAUUCAUCUCCAGGGGCCUGUUGCACAAAAGUAGAAUUAAGACAUCCGGGAUAAAUGACUCAGCUGAGCUCAAUGAAGCCAAAACAUGUGCGUCCAGGCUUAAUUGGUUGCACAAAGACCAAGCCAGGAUGAGCAGACACGGAUUCAUUAAACCAGGUGAAACCAAUCCUGGAUAGGUGCGCGCUCACGGCUCACUCAAAUAGACCCCGCCACAGAUCACAGAUUAACUGAUUUACCAUGGCAACUAGAGCCGCGUACUUUUCCCCGUCGGAAGCACAAAUCCUCAUGGAGGCAUACGAGGAGGUAAAAGAUAUAAUUAAGAAGAAAGGCAACACCGCCACAGUGAUAAAGCAAAGAGAAAAAGCGUGGCAAAGUAUUGCAGACCGCCUGAAUGCGUAAGUAGUGCACAAUUACACACUCACCGCUCCGCUGAAACAUCACAAUUACAAUUCAAAUAUUUAAUUCACAUCUCCAAAAAUGCAGUUGUACUGUAAUUAUGAAACGGUUAAAUUUUUAAUUGAAAUGCACUGCAGAUAUGAGUGAAAUUGUGUAAAGUAACUCCAUCACACUGUAUAAAGCUAUGAUAAAUUUUUUGAUAUUUUUACUGAAAACAAGACAAAAAUACCAAGUAAUUUUUUGCAGUGUGACUCCAUUAAAUGUGUGUGUGUGUGUGUGUGUGUGUAGAUUAAACAUGAACGGGCCAAAACGGACAUGGCAGCAGGUCAAAAUCAAAUACAAGAACAUUCUGCAGAAUGCAGUGAAAAAGAAUACCCACAGACAAGGCACGGGUGGUGGGUCACCAAAGGCUGACCUUACCCCAGCAGAGGACAUGGCCUUGGAGCUAAAUAAAGGCAGGCCCGUCUUAGAGGGGAUCCCUGGGGGGAAAGAGACGAGCAUAGGUUCCUCCCAAGAUGCCACCCGCUUCAUUCAAGUGCCUGGCAGCACUGUGUUCCUGUUAGAGCCACCAGCACAAGCACCAGACGAUGCUGAUCCAGGUGAAGGCCCCAGUGCAGCAGCAACAGCACAUGAUGGAGACGAUGAUGAGGAGGAGACCAUCUCUCUGGAUUCCAGAAGGCAUGAGGACCCAGAUGCUAUACAGUGGGAAAACCAGCCUGGCAACAUAAGCUCACAAGCUAUCAGAAAGUUGUAUGGCAACCACCUCCGGCGCCAAAUAGAACUGGCAGACAUAGACAUUCAGUACAAGAAGAAAAAGAUGGAAAAUCUUGCACUGGAGUCCGAAAUAAAAAAGAGGACAAUUAGGAAACUGGACCUUGAAAUAAAAAAACUUGAGAGGGAGCUCCAAGAAGAUGACACAGCUCAAAAUAAAAAAUUAGCAAUCAGUACAACCAAGUCAUCGUUAUAAGGCAUCGCCCUCUUUUGCCCACCCCCCCAGCACCAGGUGUGGCCACUAGCCUAUAUGAAGGCCCAAAAUUGUGUGUUCCUUUCUGCUCUGACAAUGGCAUGCCCAUUCGUGCGAGAUGUGGUGGAUGAAGAAGCACUUGUGCUGAGGAGAGCCUUCAGGCGAGGAAGGGUCUUCAGGGACCGGUUGGACCCACUGGCCUUCCCUGAUGACCAUCUAUAUGAAAGAUACAGGUUUUCUGCAGAUGGCAUCAGGUAUCUAUGCAGACUACUGGGUCCCAGGAUUAAGCACCGCACUGCACGGAGCCAUGCACUGAGUGUGGAGCAAAUGGUUUGUGUGGCCUUGCGCUUUUUUGCUAGUGGAGCCUUCCUGUACUCAGUGGGGGAUGCAGAACAGCUGAACAAGGCCACAAUUUGCCGCACAAUAAGGAGUGUGUGUCUGGCUAUCAAAGCAUUAGCAGAUGUCUUCAUCUCCUUCCCUGGCCACAGAAGACUCUGUGACAUCAAAGAGGAGUUCUAUAGGAUUGCAGAUGGUCUGCAAUGCUGACUGUGUGAUCAGCAAUGUUGUGGCAAAAUGGCCUGGCUCAGUCCAUGACUCCAGAAUCUUUCGGGCCUCUGAAAUCUAUCACAAGGUGAAUUCUCUGGUGUGUUGCUGGGAGACAGGGGUAUGGCUGCCAGCCUUUUCUCCUGACACCUUUCACAGACCCCCAGGAAGCAUAGCAGGCCUACAACCAUGCCCAUGCCAGGACCAGGGCCAGAGUUGAAAUGACCUUUGGCCUCCUGAAGGCACGCUUUCACUGCCUUCACAAAUUAAGGGUCAGCCCUGUUAGGGCAUGUGAUAUUACUGUGGCUUGUGCUGUCCUCCACAAUGUGGCCUGCCUGAGGAAGGAGAGGGCCCCCAGAGUGCCACCAGCCAUGGACUGGGACAAUCCGGCAAUCUUCCCUGAUGACGACAGUGGUCGGCUGCUGAGGGACCAAUAUGUGUUGAAUUAUUUUAGUUAGUAUGUGUGCUUUCAAUUUUGGUUAAAUAUGUCCUGCGGUGGCAGAGGAAUUUGGUUUUUUUGGGUUCGUUUUUGACGAAUUUGGCCUCUUAUGAUGUUUGUGCGGUAUACUGUGUGUAAUACAAGGCUGCAGGGAGGCUACUGCAUCCAUUCAUUUGUCUGUUCAGUUGAUGUGUAUGGAUUUGUCCUGCAUUUAUUUUAGUGUGCAGACAUGCAGGGUGUGUUAUAUACAGACCUUUGAAUGUGUAUGUCUCAUUUUGUAUAAUAUGCUUGGAUUCUGUGCUUUCCAUCUUGUAGAGUCACUGUGACUUCAGUUUCGAAAGGAGCUGAUGGUUUACCUGCUUUGUUUUGUCCUUAUUCAAUAAAGGAACAUAAUGUUACACAUUGUGUUUUUAUAUUCA